AAUUUACGUUUUCUUUAUGCAUGUUGAAUGAAGUAUUCUUUUAUCUACGGAACCUAACCCCUAUUUUAACACUACUUUUAGGUCUCAAUUUACGCGGCUUUUCCAUGGAACGUAACCCACACGUAAAACGAGGAUUUACUGUAUUUCAAACAAACCUAAAGAAGUUCUUCUGCCCUUAUAUAGAAGUUUGGUAAGACCUUAUUUGGAGUAUGCUGUUCAGUUUUGGUCUCGUUAUCUUAAGAAAGAUAUUAAUGUAUUAGAUGGAAAGGGUUCAAAGGCGGGCUACAAGGCUAAUAAAUGGACUUCUUAUUUAGACUACGAUUCCAGGCUUAGAAUGCUAAAAAUGUAGUCUUGAGCAAAGAAGAGACCAAGGGACAUGAUUCAGUUGUUUAAAUUUAUUAAAAUGAAAGAUGUUUCGGGGCUAAAGUUUAGCACUAAAAACAGGACAAGGGGUCAUUGUUUUAAGCUAUUUAAAUCUCAGGCUAACAUGGAUAUUAGGAAAAAUUAUUAUUCUAGCAGAGUAGUGGAACCUUGGAACAGCUUACCGGAAGAGGUGGUAAUGAGAAACUACUGACGGUACUUAUCUACUGCAGUACUUAUAAGUACCAAUCACUUUCAAAAAUAAUAACACAACAACCAUUACUUAUUUAUUAAUGUUACAUUUUAGAAUAAGUCUUUUAACUCUACUUUCUUAAGAUAGAUGGCAGCAGUUGUUCUAGGCUGAUGAAUUUUGCGAGAAAGAAAGCUAUAUUUUCGAACAGACAUUGUGUUCUUUUGCAGCCAUUUUGUAAGGAUUGCCGCUCUUGAAUUCCUUUGCUGUAAAUAUAUAAUAUCGAACCUAAGAAUGCCCCGAAAGAAAGGUCUCACCAUUCAGGAGGCUUUAGAUGUGCUGAAAGACUUGUCAUCAGAAAGUGACAUCACUGAUGAUUCAUCUGAUGAAGAAUUUUCAAAUAAUAUAUUGCAGAAGUUUUCAUCAGAUUCUGAUGAUGUUGACGCGGUGACGGAAGAAGAACCUGAAUCCAGUGAUAAGGAAAAUCAGGAGUCAAACUCUGGAAAAAAAGCAGUUCCUACCUCGAAAGGUAAAGAAAAAAUUGAUAGACGUUGGAAGAAAAGAGAUUUUCAGACUCAGGUUCCCAUUUUUUCUUUGAAAUCUGGAUUUGUAAGCAAUAUUUUUGAUUCUUUGCUCACUCCAACGGAUUUUUUUCUAAAAUUUUUUGAUGAGCCUAUUGUUGAAAACAUAGUUUUUCAAACAAAUCUGUAUAUAAAUCAAAAUAACAAGCAAAUUACUCCUAUAACUGCUGAAGAGAUCUAUGGAUUUAUAGGCUUACAAUUUUCUAUUCGGAUAUCACAGGUUACCUAGAACUCACAUGUACUGGUCAUCUGAUACAGAUACUUCUGUAAAUGUGGUCCCUCAAACAAUGACACGUGAUCGAUAUUUUCAAAUAUUAUCGAAUAUCCAUCUAAAUGACAAUUUAUCAAUGCCGGAUAAAAACUCUGAUAAAAUGUACAAGCUGAGACCCUUUAUUUCUAGUUUAAAUGAGAAUUUUCAGAACUUUAGGAUAGGCACUCAGAUCCAAUCUAUUGACGAAAGUAUGGUGCUAUUCAAAGGAAGGUCUUCUCUAAAGCAAUACAACCCGAAAAAACCAAUCAAGCGUGGUUUCAAACUUUGGUGCCGGGCAGAUAUGUCCGGAUAUAUAUAUGAAUUUGACGUCUAUCAAGGGGAGCAGAUUAAUAGCGACAGCUCAAAGAGAGGAUUUGGACUGGGCGGAACAAUAGUUGAUGAAAUGACAAAUACUAUGGCAGACAAAAACCAUAUCAUCAUCAUGGACAAUUUCUUCUCUUCCGUGCCACUAUUUGAAUAUUUGAAAACGAAAAAUAUAUAUGCAGUUGGCACUAUUCGUCCUGAUAGACUUGGUUUACCCAAACUUAUGGAUGAUAAAAAAAAUGAAACGAGGGGACUUGGAUUAUCAAAUAUCUGAUCAAGGAAUAUCCUACUUCAAAUGGAAGGACAAUCGAUCCGUACACUUUCUCUCAAAUUAUCAUAGAAACGAAACUUGCAAAGUGCAAAGGAGACUCAAAGAUGGUUCCAAAAGUGAUGUCAUCGCACCCAUUGUUGUAAAAGACUACAACGGACACAUGGGGGGAAUUGAUAAAGCCGACAUGUUACGUGCUAUUUAUGAUAGGGACAGGAAAUCAAAAAAAUGGUGGCACAGGCUUUUUUUUGCUAUGCUAGAAAUAGCAUAUGUAAAUUCAUAUAUUGCAUAUGUGGAAGUACGUCAUGAGAAAAUGUCAUCCCUCGAAUAUAAGCGCUGUAUUACUAAAGGUAUUACUUACAAAAUCAAAACCACAACCAAAACGAAAAGGGAGACCAAAAUCUAAUGGAAAUGAACAAGCCUUUAGUACAAAAAAGAGAAGAAAAGGAAAUUUGUCUGUUUCUAAUGAUGUUCGAUUAGAAAAUAGAGGAUGCCAUUGGCCAACAUUCGUGUCGAAUCGAGGACGUUGUGAAUUCUGUGCACUAAAAAAUAUUCAAUCAAAACCUCAUUCAAAAUGCUCUACUUGUGAUAUAUUUUUGUGCGUAAAGGAAAAAAAAAAUUGUUUUUAUGAUUAUCAUCAAAUGUGAGUUUCUACCUUUUUUAUGUAUAAAAUAAAAGUAUGUCAAUUUGAUAA